CAGUAGCCACGGUAAUUCGAAGGGGGCUAGCGUUGUUCGGAUUUACUGGGCGUAAAGCGCACGUAGGCGGAUCGAUCAGUCAGGGGUGAAAUCCCAGAGCUCAACUCUGGAACUGCCUUUGAUACUGUCGAUCUGGAGUAUGGAAGAGGUGAGUGGAAUUCCGAGUGUAGAGGUGAAAUUCGUAGAUAUUCGGAGGAACACCAGUGGCGAAGGCGGCUCACUGGUCCAUUACUGACGCUGAGGUGCGAAAGCGUGGGGAGCAAACAGGAUUAGAUACCCCCGUAGUCCCUGUCUCUUAUAC
rnacentral:rRNA from 1 species